CAGCAGUUAUCCGGUGUGUGCCGGGUCUGAUGAGUCCUAAAGGACGAAACUGAAA
rnacentral:hammerhead_ribozyme from 29 species